GCUCAUUAUAUCAGUUAUAGUUUAUUAGAAAUACUUUACUACUUGGAUAACCGUAGUAAUUCUAGGGCUAAUACAUGAAUAAAUCCUCAACUUCGGAAGAGGAGUGUUUAUUAGUAUGAAAACCAUAUAUCUUCGGAUAUAAUAGUGAGUAAUAAUAACCUUUCGUAUCGUAUGUCGUAAGAUAACGAUAGUUCUUUCAAGUUUCUGCCCUAUCAGCUUUCGAUGGUAGUAUAUGGGACUACCAUGGCAGUAACGGGUAACGAAGAAUUUGGGUUCGAUUUCGGAGAGGGAGCCUGAGAGAUGGCUACCACAUCCAAGGAAGGCAGCAGGCGCGUAAAUUACCCAAUCCUGACAUAGGGAGGUAGUGACAAUAAAUCACAAUGCGGAACUAUUUAGUUUUGCAAUUGGAUUGAGAACAAUGUACAAAUGUUAUCGAUAAA
rnacentral:rRNA from 1 species